rnacentral:rRNA from 1 species
UACGGGGGGGGCAAGCGUUGUUCGGAAUUACUGGGCGUAAAGGGCGCGUAGGCGGCGUGUUAAGUCAGCUGUGAAAUCUCCAAGCUUAACUUGGAACGGUCAGCUGAUACUGAUGUGCUAGAGUGCAGAAGGGGCAACUGGAAUUCUCGGUGUAGCGGUGAAAUGCGUAGAUAUCGAGAGGAACACCGGUGGCGAAGGCGGCCUGCUGGGCAGUUUAGCUGACACUGAGGCGCGACAGCGUGGGGGAGCAAACAGG